CCUACGGGAGGCAGCAGUGGGGAAUCUUGCGCAAUGGGCGAAAGCCUGACGCAGCAACGCCGCGUGGGUGAUGAAGGUCUUCGGAUUGUAAAACCCUGUCGUUAGGGACGAAGACAUGAAUCCUAAUACGAUUCAUGUUUGACGGUACCUAGAAAGGAAGCCCCGGCUAACUCUGUGCCAGCAGCCGCGGUAAUACAGAGGGGGCGAAGCGUUAUUCGGAAUUAUUGGGCGUAAAGGGUGCGUAGGCGGUUUUCUAAGUCAGAUGUGUAAUCCCCGAGCUCAACUUGGGAACUGCAUCUGAAACUGGGAGACUAGAGUACUGGAGAGGAUGGUGGAAUUCCACGUGUAGCGGUAAAAUGCGUAGAGAUGUGGAGGAACACCAGUGGCGAAGGCGGCCAUCUGGACAGUAACUGACGCUGAAGCACGAAAGUGUGGGUAGCAAACAGGAUUAGAUACCCUGGUAGUCCACACCGUAAACGAUGAACACUUGGUGUAGUGGGAGUUGACCCCCACUGUGCCGUAGCUAACGCGAUAAGUGUUCCGCCUGGGGAGUACGGUCGCAAGGCGNGAACGACAAUAGUAAGUUAGUAGGCGUGAGACGUUAGCCGACGGACGACGACGAGGGAGGGAGGGNG
rnacentral:rRNA from 1 species